rnacentral:rRNA from 1 species
CCUACGGGUGACAGCAGUAGGGAAUAUUGCUCAAUGGGGGAAACCCUGAAGCAGCACCGCCGCGUGGAGGAUGAAGGUUUUCGGAUUGUAAACUCCUUUUGUUAGAGAAGAUAAUGACUGUAUCUAACGAAUAAGCACCGGCUAACUCCGUGCCAGCCGCCGCGGGAAUACGGAGGGUGCAAGCGUUACUCGGAAUCACUGGGCGUAAAGAGCGCGUAGGCGGGAUAUCAAGUCAGAUGUGAAAUCCUAUGGCUUAACCAUAGAACUGCAUUUGAAACUGUUAUUCUAGAGUAUGGGAGAGGUAGGUGGAAUUCUUGGUGUAGGGGUAAAAUCCGUAGAGAUCAAGAGGAAUACUCAUUGCGAAGGCGACCUGCUAGAACAUAACUGACGCUGAUGCGCGAAAGCGUGGGGAGCAAACAGGAUUAGAUACCCCUGUAGUC